UAAUUAGUAUAGCCUGUUGAAA
rnacentral:miRNA from 1 species